rnacentral:rRNA from 1 species
AGAGUUUGAUCCUGGCUCAGAGUGAACGCUGGCGGCGUGCCUAAUACAUGCAAGUCGAACGAUGAAGCUUUUAGCUUGCUAGAAGUGGAUUAGUGGCGCACGGGUGAGUAAGGUAUAGUUAAUCUGCCCUACACAAGAGGACAACAGUUGGAAACGACUGCUAAUACUCUAUACUCCUGCUUAACACAAGUUGAGUAGGGAAAGUUUUUCGGUGUAGGAUGAGACUAUAUAGUAUCAGCUAGUUGGUAAGGUAAUGGCUUACCAAGGCUAUGACGAUUAACUGGUCUGAGAGGAUGAUCAGUCACACUGGAACUGAGACACGGUCCAGACUCCUACGGGAGGCAGCAGUAGGGAAUAUUGCGCAAUGGGGGAAACCCUGACGCAGCAACGCCGCGUGGAGGAUGACACUUUUCGGAGCGUAAACUCCUUUUCUUAGGGAAGAAUUCUGACGGUACCUAAGGAAUAAGCACCGG